rnacentral:rRNA from 1 species
AACGUAGGAGACAAACGUUAUCCGGAGUUACUGGGCGUAAAGGGCGUGUAGGCGGUUUGUUAAGUUGGCGUGAAAGCUCUCGGCUAAACCGGGAGAGGUCGUUGGAUACUGGCAAACUAGAGGACGGUAGAGGCGUGUGGAAUUCCGGGUGUAGUGGUGAAAUGCGCAGAUAUCAGGAAGAACACCCGUGGCGAAAGCGGCUCUCUGGAACGGUACUGACGCUGAGACGCGAAAGCGUGGGGGAGCGAACAGG